CCAGCCCGCUCAGAAACUACAAAGGAAAUUGACGGGGGCCCGGCCGACAAGCGGAGGAACAUGUGGUUUAAUUCGAUGAUACGCGAGGAACCUUACCUGGGCUAGAACGCAUUCGGAAUCAGGCCGAAAGGCCUGCGCCAGCGAUGGCCGCUUGCGAGGUGCUGCAUGGUUGUCGUCAGCUCGUGCCGUGAGGUGUCGGGUUAAGUCCCAUAACGAGCGCAACCCCUACUGCUAGUUGCCAGCGGGUCAUGCCGGGGACUCUAGCGGAACUGCCAGCGUAAGCUGCGAGGAAGGUGGGGAUGACGUCAAAUCAGCACGGCCCUUACGUCCAGGGCUACAUACGUGUUACAAUGGCCGGUACAGAGGGCAGCCACCCCGCGAGGGGGCGCGAAUCCCGAAAGCCGGUCCCAGUUCGGAUCGGAGUCUGCAACCCGACUCCGUGAAGCUGGAUUCGCUAGUAAUCGCGCAUCAGCCACGGCGCGGUGAAUACGUUCCCGGGCCUU
rnacentral:rRNA from 1 species